CUUUGCUCAUAAAAUAUUUAAAUUACGCCAGGCAGAAAAAUUGAAAUUUCGCAUAUUAUGUGCACAGCACGCAAAGCAGUCAGGUCGUUAUUCACACCUUCAGGGCCACACCCCAAUCUUCUAACGGAUAGGUUUGGGUUGAAACAUUUUAGUAAUUGGAAAAGUCGGUUGUACUGAAUAGGACCGCAUUGGUUUGUGCACGUGCCAAAUUCGACCGGCUUACUACAAGCAAUCUAUUUUGAGGCACUGUUUAGACAAAACCAGAAUAAUGCUCUGGAAUGCAGCGGAAAACAAAGCGAAAUCGGGGGUGGAAAAACCAAUAAUAUAAACAAUUGAAAAAUCUUACCAGCCUGGACUGCAGAAAAUAUCGACAAAAACAAAAUAAAUACAGGUAAGAGCUUUACGGCGUCCAUGGUGUCAUGCUCGAAACUCAACAAUUAUUUGCACUAGGUGGCACCACCACCGCUAGUAAGUUUCUAUUUGGGAAGAUGGCGCGAAAUAUUUCCUGGAAAUUCCUUCCAUCCGCAAAUUAAAUCAAGCUGCUCAAAUUGUAUUGAAAAAUACACAUACAUCUUAUUUUUUAUUUUUGUUCACACUUCAUGGAAAAUUUUAAACAAAAUUUUGCACACCCCCAGUUAAUCUGCAGUUGCUACCAAUGAUAACUUUUAGAUUAUGUUAAUAAGCAAGAAGCAAGUUUGAGGUCUGAAGAACUUCUCUCCUGACGUCGUUCUUGAUAAUGAUUUUGUGAUUUUUGUUUUUUUGUUGUUCUUUUCAAGCAAGAAUAAACAACAAUUUUAUAUCAUAUAUGAAAUAAAUAAAAUCACAAUUUAUUCA